rnacentral:lncRNA from 1 species
CAAAAGAGAAAAUGAAUGUUUUGGGCCAAAUCCCCAAUCUAGUCCUAAAACCUCGUCCAAAUCUAAUCCGUCUCCUUACCAUUAUCUGUUCUUACCGCUGGCUGUAAAUCCAAUUUUCAAAUCCAAUUUUCCUCAAUCUCCAAGUCCAACCCAUAAAUGAAAAUUCCAUUGCUAAUCGUUUCCCUUCUUCGUUUGUCUCUUCUCCAUUGUUCCAAGGUCAAGGUAUUAAGUUUAUUUUAUUUUUAAUAUCUCCAAAAAUCUUGUUCAGAUUUUCAAUUUGGUCCCCAGCCCUCCGUUCAUUCAAUAAUCUCUUGUUUUUCUUUAAAAUUUCAGGGUGUGGUGCUGAUGAUGUUUUGUAUAAAGAGCUAUGGAAGGCUUGUGCAGGUCCAUUGGUGGAUGUUUCAAAGAAUGGAGAGAGUUUAUUAUUUUCCUCAAUGUCAC